rnacentral:rRNA from 1 species
CUAAACGUCCGUAGCCGGUCUGGUACAUUCUGGGGUAAAUCAACCCGCUCAACUGCUUGAAUCUGCGAGGACGGCCAGACUUGGGACCGGGAGAGGUGUGGGGUACUCUCAGGGUAGGGGUAAAAUCCUGUCAUCCUGAGAGGACCACCUGUUGCGAAGGCGCCACACUAGAACGGAUCCGACGGUCAGGGACGAAGCCUAGGGGAACGAACCGGAUUAGAUACCCGGGUAGUCCUAGGUGUAAACGCUGUGGACUUGAUGUUGGGGGUGCUCCGAGCGCUCUCAGUGUCGAAGCGAAGGUGAUAAGUCCACUGCCUGGGGAGUACGGUCGCAAGGCUGAAACUUAAAGGAAUU